rnacentral:lncRNA from 1 species
UUUUUUUUUUUCGUUUUCGUUUCUUCCCCCCUUGCCAUUUUGACUUCGGCGAGGGGAUGGACUCUGUCCUGGAGGGACACGUCACACGGGGGACCGUCCUCUGCGUCGGAAAGCGCAGCCGUCCAUCUCGGACGAACGGUGCAGAUUUGCUAUGGCACGGAAGCCUAGGCGUCAGCAACAGUAGUGGCAGAGAAAUCAGAAGAUGAUCAUCGAUUCAUCGGAGUCAGGUUGGGUUUGGAUUUGCCAGCAAUUCCAGCGGUUGCAUUUUGUGCAAGCCAACUAUCUAGCGAAUUGCAUAUCUUGCAAUGACCCAACUAUCGGAAGGGGGUGAGAAAAAUCGGUCCCUGUAGACGUACCUACGGAAGAACCAUAUCAAAUCGGCCACGAACUUGGACAGAUGAUCCAUGAGAGGAACCCGGUCGGCGUGCUUCCUGUAAAAAGAAUGAGGAGACCUAUACAACUCUACACGUGUCCCUUCAUUACCGUCGAGUGCUUCUUGGCAUUCCGAUCUCAUAGUAGUGUGGUAAUGAUUGGUGAAUAAAUGGCCGAAUUGAUAAUUGAUCAGCAGUUACUAUAUUCUGGGCCUUAUAUUCUCAACCAAAAGUACCAAACCAAACGUAUAAAGCUCCAUUCUUAGUUGGGCCAAAACCCGGACAGCCCAGUUUUCAGAGCCCAAAUCCUAUACAGACCUAACCACCUCGGCCUGGGUGCGGCCGCGUUCCUGGCCCAAACCAACCUCACAGACAGAUUCCAGCGUUUCAGAGUCCUGGUUUCGCGGCCGGACGCCGCCGGGGCGCAUGGCGCGGCGGCCGGCGGCCUCUAGCGUCGCCGGCUCGCAGCCGCUGGCCGUUCCCCAGCGCGCAGGCGGCAGGGGCCUCGUGCCGGCCGGCCGGCCGGCCGGCCGGCUCGUGAGCCCACCACGCCACGCGUACGGCGCCAGAACCGUGCCGCCGCGCCGCACCACCCCUCACCAUCGGUCCAUGUCCAUCACGCUAUCUGACGUCGUGCGCGUGGGCUCCGCACGGUGCCGCUGCCACGCCGCCCCGGCCAAACGGUGCCCCUGCAGCCGACACACCCUGCAUCCUACCGAUCGCAAGCUGAUUGAAGAAGACACCGUCACCGAAUUACGGAAGGAUAAGGCCGAGAGGAGUAACAUUUUUCCUGACGUCUUUUCGUGGCCGUGGCCAUCUGGCUGGAAUCUUGUUUCAAAGAUGGCGUUCUAAGGUUGAAGAGACCGUAUGCGAUGCAAGUUGGUGUCAUGGGACGAGGCAAUUCUGCGGUUAUGUUCCCGGGUGGGACACGUGACGGAGAAGGUGAGUUGCAGCGGUGGUUAAAGCUAAUGUUCUGAGAUUAAUAUGCCAUCAGCCUAACCCAAAUCAAGGAGCCGGAUGGACCAUGGAACUGCUGGUAGUGGACAAAAAGUUAAAUUUGUUUGUCGCGUCACUGUUCUUGCUACGAAAAUUCGAAAAAAAAACAUAUAUAAUCACAAAUUCAAACAUAUAUAGAAAAUGACAAUGAGUGAAAAUACAAAGAAAAAAGAAAAAACGUUACUGGUGUCUUCUUCGUCAAUGCUUACAGGGAGAUUAUUUUGUCAAAAAAUUCAAGCGAGCAUCAAAGUACAAAAUCAUCUUACAUUCAAAAUUUACAAGCAUGUGAAAAUCACAGAAACAAUCUCUUGCACAAGUACAGGACAUUAGCAAGCAUGAACAUGAAAGUUGAAAGUGUAAUUUUCAUAUUAUCCUACCAAAAUAUCAAAAGGGAAAUUUCAGAUCUCAUUUGAACCGAAUAACAUCAAAGAAACUGUAAUUUUCCUCCUCAUGCUUGCGCAUGCCUCACUGAUGGACGUGGCGGCGCUUCCUCCAUCUUCCUCCCGGCUCCCACCUUCGUCAACAGAUCCGGUGGGAGCACCUUUAAAUCUAGAGAGAGAGAGAGAGAGAGAGAGAGAGAGAGGGCACCAUACCGCCGGAUGUAGGCUUCUCCUUGCCAGAUCCGGGCUUCUCCUCGCGAGGAACGACCAAGACGGUGAGGGACCAUGCUCCUACCUCCAUGGCGGCGUCGGGGAAGAAGGAGAACCUCGCCUUAACGGAUCCAGGCCGGGAACCCUACCUCGCAUCGCUAUCGCCGGGAUUUACCCAUGCGCCGCCACCGUGCCGUCACCACGGAUCCGGCCGCGCGGAAGGUGGGGAGGGCCACGGGCUGCCUCCUCGACGGAAGACAAGAGAGGGCCUCCACCUCGGGCAACCAUGGCGAGCUCGCCGGAGGGGAAAGAGUAAAAGGAAGAAAAGAAAUGACGAGACGAGGGAGAAGAAGCGGCGGAAGAAUAACACAAGAGUAAGUUUAAAAAAAAGAACACCACAAGAGAGAUUAACGGAAGUAAAUGACGCCGGUUCUAAUCACUCGAAACCUAAUCGCUUCUCUCCUUUAUUUAGUGUAGCCUUUAAUCUGAUGGCAUCUGAGAUGCCCGCCGCGGUACACAACCACCGGAAGGGAUUUUCGGGUGUCAUGGAGCAUUAGAGCAAGAAGCACGGAAUACAUAACGACUGACACGUGUAUAAGCUCUUUCCUUUAAUUACUUGGAGUGUCAAUUUUUUAUAGGGGAUGUUGACUUUAAUUAGAUCAGGUUAAUGAUCCGUCUCAUUGAUCAACCUUUAAUUUCUUUAAUCAUUGUCCUUGCUUGAUGAUGAUAAUUGAUAAGCUGUGAACGUAUUUUUUUUCUUAAACACAGUCCUCCCUCCGUCCCACAAAGAGUGUCCCUUUAAGUUUGUCCUGAAUCAAACUGUUUUAUAUUUGACCAAGUUUAUAAUGAAAACUAUCAAUAUUUAUAAUAUGCUAUGAAAAUAUAUUUCAUAACGAAUCUAAUGAAACUUGCUAGACAUCAAAAGUAUUUAUGUAUUUUCAAUAUAGAUCAUGAUAUCCACUAUCACCCUGCAAUGUCUCAAAUUAAAAUUCAACUUGCAUAUGAAGAAAUAAAAAUGACAAAUUGCUUUAUGAGGUAAGUUGAACCAAAUAGCAUAGUUUAUAGGGUAAAUUGAACCAAAACAUAGUUUAGGGGGUUAUCUGGACUUUCGCUACACUUGAAAGGAGUAAUUUGGAACUUUUCCUAAUAGAAUAUGAGUAGUAAAACCAAAAAUACUAGGGGGGGUAAGACAGCCCCCGGGCAUUUUGCUAAGAAGAAGACCUUCUCACGCAGGUUGAGAAAACCUCCAAACUCCUGCUCCACCCUUACAUAGCAGCACCAUAACCCGUGUAAGAUGACCAAUGACCUGGUCGGGGCCUUAGACCUAUGCUUUGGCGUGGGACAUGCGAGGGGAUUUUUUAACAACAACAACAACAUAGCCUUUCAGUUCCAAGCAAGUAAGCAAGUUGGAUUAGGCUAGAGUUGAAACCCAACAAGAGCCACAAAUCAGAGUUCGGGAACAUGGAUAGCUAUUUUCCAAGCACUCCUAUCCAGAGCUAAAUCUUUGGGUAUAUUCCAUCCUUCAAAUCUCCUUUUAUUGCCUCUUCACAUGUCAAUUUUGAUCUUCCUCUGCCAACAUUCUGCACCAUACAGCAUUGCAGGAUUUUUUUAACCCCAACCUGAAAUUCGCACCCACGGGGAGUUGAACCCAGCACCUAAGGAGUGCUAUUAGAGCCACCUAACCAACUCAACUAGAGGCCCGUUCGCUAAUAUAUACUAAGGGCUAUGCUAAGGUACACCUUUUACUUUCUAUAAGGGCUAUGCUAAUAUACAACUUUUACUUUCCAGUAGGAGGUAAGAGAUGAAACAAAUCUGAAUCCUUAUUUUUUCAAAAUAAAUAAUAAUUAGAUCCAACACUAGAAACACUAUCCAGAAAAAGAGGUUACUUAUUAAGGUUUAUGGAUUUCCUUUAACAAUAACCUCUAUCGUUAGGGCUCUUGAAUUUUCAUAGUUUAGAUAAAAAAACUUGUUUUUUUAAAAGUAAUCCUUGUAAGCACAAACCAUGUGCUAGAUGCAGGUGAUGGCAGAGUAGCACAGCAUGUAUGUACAUAUUUGCAUAUGAAGAAAAGGAAUCGGUGGCGUUUUUUUAUCAAUUAUUAAUAACUUGAAGUUGCUGUUAUUAGGUUUGGUAUGCUAAGGUACGUAGCUCAGAGUAGUUAAAUGUUUUUAUAUAUUUGGGUUAAGUUUAUUAGCUACUACUUUGGGGAAGCUUUUGUUUCUCCCUAUUUGGCUGGAUCUAUCAUUGAGAGCUGGUGGAUUAGACUGCUAUUAGACUUCUAAAUUAGACAGAGAAGUGCUUAGUGGAUUCUCGCGGUGACUGCAGACAAGGGCUUGUUGCAUUCAUUUGGGUUAACUUUGACAUGAAGCAUAAACAAACUCCAACCAUGAGCUAACCAGAUAGCUACAAAGAGACGUUGUUUUUAUUUUAUUUUCUUUUCGGUCUCGUGCCGCUACAGCACUUACUUAAUCAUUCGUUUCAGGAUUUAGGGGGUGUUUGGAUACUAGGUGCUAAACUUUAGCAGUAUCACAUCGGAUGUUCGGAUGCUAAUUAGGAGGACUAAACAUGAGCUAAUUAUAAAACUAAUUGCAGAACCCUGUGCUAAUUCGCGAGACGAAUCUAUUAAUCCUAAUUAAUCCAUCAUUAUAAAAUGGUUACUGUAGCACUACAUUGUCAAAUCAUGAACUAAUUAGGCGUAAUAGAUUUGUCUUGCGAAUUAGACUCCAUUUGUGCAAUUAGUUUUGUAAUUAGCCUAUGUUUAAUACUCCUAAUUAGUAUCAAAUAUCCGAUGUGACAGGUGUUAAACUUUAGCGGGUGGUAUCCAAACAUCCCUUUAGAUUUUUCUUUUAUUUGUACUCACUCGCCGUCUCGCCCAUUCAUCUCCUUUUUUUUCCCUUUUGCUAUCAUUUUCAUAUCUCAGUGAGGGGAAAACUGGUAAAAAAAAGAUAAGGAAAACGUAAUAACACUUUUAAAAUUAAAAUCAGCCAUACCCCCAAAAUUCACUUAGUUUACUUCAGUGUCUAAAUUUGGCCAUUUGUGACUGUGAAAGACAAGCUCUGUAUAUAACUGCAGGUACUUUCAUAUUGUGCAAAAAUGUUUCGCGCUAUUAUAUGACACCCCUUGCUACUUUAUACAGCAAGAAAGCACUUCAAAUCCUCCCCCAUUUUAGGCAACUAAUUAAUUUGAACUCUAUGGCACUGAGAAAAUGUUUGAGAGACUGCCACAAAUAUUCACUGUAGCAUGGUGCGUUCUGUAUAUACUACACUGGGUUUCUGUCCCUCCGUCUAUCAUUGUACUCUAUUACGGUGUUAAAUUUAUAUAUUUUUGCCUCCCAAAAUGUCAAUACUGGAAGUAGUAGUCCAUGCUGGCAUAUCAAAUUUAUUAAUGGCCAUUUGAACAAUAAUAACACUCAUCAUAUGCCAGGUCGUGAAAUGUUCUGGAUGUAAUGAAGCACGGGAAUUUCAUAAAUGGUAAUUUGAUAAAAAAAAAGAAGAAGAAAGAACCGUGUGCAGGGGGUUACAGCACGCACACAGUUCAUGCACUGUAGAAGAAAUGAGAAUCUUAGAUACAUUCUCUCCCUAUUUUUUUCUCAAAUAUGAAGCAGAGCUGCAUAUCUUUGUAGUAAUAGAGACAGACGAAUGCAUGUCUCCUAAUGCAUAUCCGUAUAACUUCUCUACCUUUAUAACUAUGUUGUAGAGACUUUGUUUCCUUAGACAAAUAGACCUGCAUCUACAUUGAUCUUUGCCUAGCUCAUAAGAGGAAUAGGAUCUAAUUGCUCCUAAAAAAUUUAGACCAUUAUCAACAUUUUUAUUUGUAACAAUGAAGGAAACUUAACUCUGUUCACAAAAAUAGAUGCUUAAAUAUUUUUGCUCACUACAGAUUCCCAUAGCUCAUCAAAUUGUAACCCGUCCAUUGUGUGUCUAAACAAAUAUAAUCUUGCUAAUCAACUCUAACCAUUUGCAUAUACCUUAUAAAAAGUCAUAUAGAUAGUUUUGCAAACCACCAAGCACUAGUGGAAAAUUGAGCAUUAGUCCCGGUUGGAGAGACGCGUCUCAAAAAUCCAACUGGGACUAAUCUGUUAAGACUAAAAGCCCCCCUCUUUAGUCCCGGGUAUUUGACCCAAGACUAAAGACCUCCUUUAGUCUCGGUUGAAAAAUGGGCCACCCCCGCCCGCCCGCGCCGCUCGUGCCCUCCACCUGGAAGAAAGGGAGAGGAGGAGGAGAGAAGAUAAGGAAGAAGAGAAAGAUGGCCUGCGCGAGAUAAGGGAGGGGAGAGGAGGAGAGAACAUAAGGUGGAGAGAGAGGGGGGGACUAAAUUAAAGGCCCCGGUUGGUGAGGCGAGAUGUUUAGUCCCGGUUGGAAUUACCAACCGGAACUAAAGGGGACUAAAUUAAAGGUCCCGGUUGGUGAGGCGAGACGUUUAGUCCCGGUUGAAAACACCAACCGGGACUAAAUCCCGGUUGGUAUUUUUCAACCGAGACUAAACGCUCCACCGGAUUCCCUUGUCCCACUAGCCGUUACAACCGGUACUGAAGGGGGCUCUUUAGUCCCACUAGCUCGUCGGAGAUGGUCAUCGGUGGUGGGAAUUUGAACAAUCGGGACUAAAAACAGCAUCUAAGGUCUCUUUUCUACUAGUGAAGAUACGGGUCCAAAGUGGUGAGUGGUAAGUUGUGCCCAAGAGAAAAUAAUUCCCACUUGGAUGAAUGCAUGUACCUGGCUGUCUCCAGGGACAAUACAUAGGCUGUUGGUAAUUUUAAAAACAAGUGUACAAAAAUAUAUUCUAGUUAAAAGCAGUGUCUAGUCAUGCUUUAGACCGAAAUACAACAAUGACUUGACAUGAUAUAAUUAUGAUAUCUCAAGUUGGAUUAGCAAUUUGGACUACCAUAUAACAUAAGAGGUACACAAACAGCUGAAGUAGUACGAGAUUCGAUACAAAUGAGAUUUGCAAACAAUGUGGUUAGAUUCUCAUUACAAAGGGUGAUGUAUUACCAGAUCACUUCUCGAUUGUUAGUUAACAAGUUGUUAUUCCGAUCCCUAUCAAGGGAUUGAAUGCAUUUCUGUUCAGUUAUUUUCACUAUCUGUUUUCAUGCUAUUACUGGCAUACUAUGUAUUUACAUAAAUUGUAAGGUGAUAUAUCUACUUUCUCAGUCUUUAUGUGAUUUAUUUGGGAGCAUCUCAUCUUUGAAAAUUUGCCUCACUUUUCGGGCUCGUUCAAAAGCGAAGUUGUAGUUCAUAUGUUAGAGUUAUGUUCUAUAUAUUCUCAUUCAGAGAAAAUCUGUAUUUGUCAGAUUGCAACAUGUAAAGUACAGUAAACUUUGUUUGAAGAAGAAUUUACGUAUCAAGUUCAAAACUCAUGAGAACUAGUCACCAAGAUCUCUAUAUCUACGCAAUUCUCUAAUCAGGAAAUGGUUCCUCAAAUACAUGGAUAGUUCAUAUAUGAAUUAUGAAAUAAUUCAAAGUUCAUCUCUCAAAGCUUAAUCUAUUAGUUCUUUGUUGCACUUCCUAUUGGAUUGAACUCAGUUCAACUCAUAUGUUCGAAAUAUACUUCAAAUAAGAUUUAAGGGGACAAUAGACUCUUGUUUCCAUUUCAGAGGUUAUAUGUUUCUUAUGUGUGCAACUAUUGUGCUAUAUUCAGUUUGCAAUGGUUUCCUUAAUUAUUUUUAUCACGCUCACAUAUGUUAUAGGUGGAGCUUGUUCUAGCAAUUAGUUUAAUUUAUUUUGAAAUGAUUUUCAGUUAAGUUACUAUUAGUGUAGCAAUACCCAAAGUAGAGGAGUGCAAUAUCUGAUUCUUCGCUAUAAAAACAAAAUAACAAUAUUCUUUUGUAGUUUACCUGUCGAUCUGCCAUUCUGCCCUGACACUUAGUUUCACCUUCUUGCAAAUUCGUUUCGCACUUAUUCUCCUCAAGUUGUUCCAUGUCAUGGUAAUAUGUGGAUACUUUUCAUGAACUUUUUCAUUGUUUUACUGGUCUUCUUCUUAAUUUUAGGACGCUUUAAAGAAAUGUUUCCAAAAUAUUGCAAAAAUAGGAAUUAAUUUGCGGUGAUUCACUAUGCAUUUUUUUCUUUCAAGCUUUGUUACAAUGAUUGUUAAGUACCAAUAGGUACUUCCAGUUACUUUUUUCUUUAGACUUUUUAUAAAUCUUGAUUUGAGGAAUGUAAUUAAAAAAUAAAUUAAAUUAGUAUUGGUCCCACUAUUUUUGUACUUAGUCUCACCUAUUUGGUACUUCUUGGCGCUUUUCUUUCGGUACCUCCUAGUAUUUCCUAUUUUUCCACCGCGCAAUUUCUCAGGAUGGACGGCUCUCAAUUUUUCAAAUCAUAGUAAAACUCCUCUUUUCUUUUUGGUAUAGAGCGAACUAUUAUCCUUACGUCAACACAAAUCAUAUCAUGAAGCUCUUGAGCAUACUUUUAGCAUCUUCUCUGGUAGCUGUUGAAUGAUCCAAACAAUAUUUAGCUAGAUAGGUGGUUAGGUACCUAGUAUAUGAUUGUAACACCGGCCAUGAGGGGGGGAAAAUAUUGCAUGAGCUGAGCUCAUCAUCAAUCUACCUCCUAGGGCAUCAAUAAUUUCUCUCCUAAAAAACAAUUCCGGCUCGAUAAUUUCGCCUCACGCAUGGCUCCGUAAUCAAGACUUCCGAAAAUGUUGUUGCUCGAUUUACGUUCAAAAUACUAUAACUUUAUUUUAUUUUACAGACAUUUUACAGUCUAAAUUAAUGUAGCAGUUGUGCUGGACUGCUGGGCCUCGAACAAUCGGACGUGCUGGUCGCACUCGCCAGAUCAGAGAGAGUGCACGCUGUCCUCCAUGGACCAUGGUGAAGCAUGCAUUUUCUCUGCGGAGCACAUUUGGUGCCUUUUGUUUUGUAGGCUUUUUCUUGGAAGGUCACCAUGGUCUGUCCCCUUCAAUCUGCCGAGAUUGCCCCUUUCCAUUGGUGGAAUUUUAGGCCAAAAGUGGCACGGGAAAUCGAGAGCCUUGGUACUUGGUGCUACAUUGGUACUUGGUGCUCGGUAGGCGCGCACCAUUAUGCAGAACGGUCUUGAUUAGCCUUGUUUAGCGGUCUUUUUCCAACUUUGGCACUAUGUAAAAAGAAGAUUCCCCAUCACAUCAAACUUACGGUACAUGCAUAGAGUACUAAAUGUAGAUGAAAUUAAAAACUAAUUGCACAAUUUUGUUGUACUUUGCGAGAUGAAUCUUUUAAGCCUAAUUAGUCAAUGUUUGGACAAUAAUUCACAAAUACAAACGAAAUGUUACAGUUGCGCAUUUAUAGCAAAAUGUAAACUUUACCACUCUCAAUUUGGGAACUAAACAAGACCUUAUUUAGAAUAACCCACCUGAUUAUUUAAAGAAGGUGUACUUCUUGCAGGACCUGAAGAUACUUUGAUUCUUAAACAAACACAACAAGUUUUUUAAAAAGAGCCGUCUUACCCAAGAAACAAGUUUAUGACGCAGGGUUCUUUUCCAAACACAUUGAUUUCAUUAAAAAAACCGGUAGGUUUCCAUAGAACUUCCACUAGAAAUACUGGGUGGUGUUUGAUUUCUUUAGUCCAUGUGCUAAAGUUUAAUCCAGUCCAUACCCUAUUUGGGUUCAUGGACUAAAAUCCAUUAAUGCAGUUGAACAAAGACCCUUUUACCCCUAAUACCUACUGCCUGGUACCCUGUCCUGGCACCAACUUCUAGUUCUGGGCGCCUGCUACACACACAUACAUAGUCAUUGUCUUCCAAUCCAAGCCGCUAUCAAAAUCAAAUCCAAUCCAAUCCAAGCCGUGGAAAAAGAAACCCCUCCCCUCCCCUACCCCGCCCACAUGGCGCUCGAGGCACAGGCCUCCCGUCGCCACUCCCCGCCGCGCGCGCCGGAUGCAGUGACGGAUCCUCCAGCGCGCGAGGCGGCGGUAGGGGACUAGUGGCCGGACCCAGAUGAUCCCCCCACUGGCACCGCCACCGCCCCACCAGGCUCCCCUCCUGCGGACCCCUCCACGGCCGUCUUCGUCGCGUUGCGGAACCACGCCUCGACCUCCAAGUACUUGCCGCCGCGCGCCACGUCCUGCACUGCCAACCCGGACCCCGCCCGCGUCGUGGGGUGGUACUCAUGGAGUGGCGGCCGCACCGCGGGAGGGAGGGAGGCAGCGGGGGGGGGGGGGGGGGGGGCGGAGGGAGGCCGGCGGCGAUAGCAGAGGGGGCCAAGUGGGAGGGCGGCGGGAGGGAGGCCAGCGGCGACGACGGCGGGCGGGACGGGGGUCGGAGGGAGGCCGCCGGCCCAGCCCCGCCGCUGUCGUCGCUAGCGGGCGGGAGGCGAUGGGAGGGAGGCCAGCGGAGGGAGCCAAGCGGGAGGAAGGGCAAUAAAUGAGGGGCAAGGGUGUCCCAAGACUCUUUAGUCUACCUUAGUCCACCUCAUAUGGACUAGAGGACUAAACACUUUAGUCCACAUUUUAGUCCACCUGUUUGGCACUUUAGGGACUAAAAGUGCCAAAAAUGAGUGGACUAAAGUACUGGGUUACCAGACCUAAUGUGUGUUAACAAAAAAGUUUGCAUCACGCGUAUAUGAAACUUAUACAAACUAGAUUGAAUUGAAUUAAUUUGUAUCCUAUUGAAGAGCCAUGCGUGAGGCGAUGUUAUUUUAACCUCGAUUUGAGUAUCUAUUUUUUCUCGCUUGCGAUACGUGAUUGAUAGGUCAACAUGUAUGGUAUGUAAAUUAAUAGCAAGACACUUAUGGUAGUGAGGCGAUCAAGUUCAAGUUCUUACAGAAAAGAAAGAUGCAUGCCCUCCUAACUCUUAAAUAUUUUGCAGGGUAGGAAAUUAUCCUCCUUACUUUUUGCAAUAUCAUGUGCCUUUCGUACCAGGAAUGAUGCCUACGAUUGAAACCAUAACUUUUUUCUAAAGUAGUCAUGAUUUGGCUACAAGUUUAUAUUUCUGCAAUAAAACUUGUAUGUAGGGGCUGUUUGGAUACGAGGUGCUAAACUUUAACAGUGUCACAUCGGAUGUUCGGAUGCUAAUUAGAAGGACUAAACAUGAGCUAAUUAUAAAACUAAUUGCAGAACCUUGUGCUAAUUCGCGAGACGAAUCUAUUAAGCCUAAUUAAUCCAUCAUUAGCAAAUGGUUACUGUAGCACCACAUUAUCAAAUCAUGGACUAAUUAGGCUUAAUAGAUUCGUCUCGCGAAUUAUACUCCAUCUGUGCAAUUAGUUUUGUAAUUAGCUUAUGUUUACUACUCCUAAUUAGCAUCCAAACAUCCGAUGUGACAGGUGUUAAACUUUAAUAGGGUGUUCCCAAACACCCCUGUAAUAAGAGGCUUUAUAUACGUACACUCCCCUUUGACUGGACCUUAAAUGUUCACUUUUAACCCUGACUGAUAGCCGCUCAGGUCUUCAACAUAUAUUCUUUUUUUGAAGGUUUAAGAUUUCUGGAUAAAAUUAGGGACCGGCGUGCAAAACCUAAAGGGAAUGGAUUAGCAAAGAUCCUCUACCGAAAGCUAGGGAUCAGUGAACAGUGCAAGGUCAAAACUCGAAAGACAAGAGAAGAAUUUGCCCAGCACCUCCAGAUCGCUCUCUCACUGCCCCCUUUCGCACCCUUUCUGCCCAUAUAUGUAUAUACCCCGCACGGCACGGGAUGCCGCGACCGAUCGGUGUCCCCGCGAGCCGCGCACACGCAAGCACGCGCCCGCACUGUUCGCUCGCUCGCUCGCUCCCCCACCUGCCCCGCCGCUCUCUACAGUGCUGCUGAGGUGGGCACUGCUGCCGACUCGUCUUCUUCCGAUCGUAUGUGCCGCCUCAUCCCCUUCUGCUUCGCUCUGCGCUUAAAUUUCUGUAGGCGUCGCGCCAUGGUAAGUUCUUGCGCUCUUGCCGCGGGAGUGCAAGAAUCGGUGGCCUUCCUGGACAUCCGGCGGGGCUUAUUGCCUGGAUGCCAUUUCUUGGAUAGUUAUUUAGCUUCUUGCAGGAUUUUCGCCCGGAAUUGUUGCCGCCGUCGUGACGGUUUCUUGGUUGGGAACAGGUUUCUUUUCCGGGGGCAUGGACUGGGCGGCGGCUUCCGGGGCGCCAUCCUGGGGCGCGGCGGCGGCGUCGGACCCCGGCCCGACCAUGCUGUCCUUCGCGGGGCCGUCGUCCUCCGCCGCCGCCGCAGCCGCCGAGGCGCGGCUUCAGGAUUUCGCCGCGGGGCUGGCCCAGCGAGCCCGGCCGGUGGGGGCGGCCGGAGGUGGGAGGAGGUCCCGCUCGGCGGGCGGUGGCGGCGGCGCGGAGGCCUGCUCCGUCGACGGGUGCCGGUCCGACCUCAGCCGGUGCCGGGAGUACCACCGGCGGCACAGAGUCUGCGAGGCGCACUCCAAGACGCCGGUGGUGGUCGUCGGCGGCCAGGAGCAGCGCUUCUGCCAGCAAUGCAGCCGGUACGGCUACCAUCUCAUCCGAUCCUUGUACAAAGCGGCGUACUCGUCGAAUUAAUCAACAAUUCCUGUGCUGAUGAGGUCAUUAGUUAAUAAUUGAGUGCGUAUUGGUCCCCAUCUGGCUUGCUAAUUGAGGAAUUCAGGGUAGGGAUUUGGUGCAUACGUUGGGGCAAAUUUAGGGGCAAAGUUUUCAGGUCUAGUUUGGUCCCAAGCUGGCAAGCUAAACAAUUAGGUUGGUAAUUUGGUGGCGUCUGGUGUUUAGGAUCUGAUGGCGUGCUGAUAGUUUAAUCUCACGGAUGCUAUGCGUUGCUGAUUAAACUAUUGGGUUGGUAAUUUGUGGUUGUUUAGGGUCUUGUAACCCGAUUAAUUUAGUCCUGUUGGUACUAUUUAAAGAAAGCUGUUGGUGUGGACAACUGACUUGUUUGAGUAGGGUUUGAUUUUUCUAUGGGAUACUCAGCAUCAUGCAGAAUCUUUCUCAUGAUUGCUGAAGUUUUGGGCUUUCUUCAGCGGGCAUGCUCAAUCUGAGCUCAUGACUGCUCUGCGAUGCAACUUUUUGCAAACCAUUGCUGUUUCUGCGCAACCAAAUAUGAAGACAUUUCACUAGAUAUAAGAUCUGGUCAAGUACAUACCUUAAUGCUUAUUGUUGCCCAUUGUGAUAAAAGGAAGGCCUCAAACUAGGAUUGAGGUUAUUUCAUGGGUUAUUCCUUGCAGCAAGCGUAUCUGAAACUGAAAUAUCAGGUUAUAGCUUGGUUGGUUGAUUUAAUUUCUCCCCUGGUUUUGGAGGCAUACUUUCUUCUCCCUGUUUCCCUGUUACAUACUAGACUACUUCAUAGUUAGCUGACAUAAGUAGCAACGGAAAGUUUAAGCGAACGUGGGUGGAAUUAUGUGUUUUCUCAUGAUAUUUGGACCUUUAUUUCCUUUUCAAGUAUGCAAGUAUUUUUUUAGAUAUACUGCGAGAAGUUUGCUGAAAGUGUACAAAAUAGAAGUAUAAAUGCAGUAUGAAUUGACAAUGUCUUAAGAGACUUAGUUGGAGUAGACAUUAGCCCUUUGACUGCACCAGGAUUGUCAGCUAAACUAAAAAGAUCCUGAUAACAUGCACUUCCUGAUUUUUACUUGGAUCUUAGAGCCAAGUCUUGUGAAUGUUUGUAAGCUGACUAUCAUUCUAUCAUCUGAAGACUGCAUAUUUCCUAAUCUGUAGAUUAAUCAAGAAUAUAGAAUGUCAAGUGCAAUUGUGAGAUCUUGCAUUUUUUUUUUUCUGAAGACGCAGGAGAAAGAGACCUUGCAUUUGGAGCUUUCAGUUCUAAAGCUGCACCAGUGCUUAUCUUUUUAAGAUGCAUCUUGAUGGAAGAGCUAGUGAAUUUAGGUUCCAUCAAUGUUUGGCUCCACAUAUUGAAGUUGUGUAUUAGUUUAUUUUUUGUGUCUUCAAAGGUUAAAACUAUCAGUGCCAUUUAUUCAAUGUAGAUGAAAGAUAACAACUGUAAGGGGCAAGUCAGAUGGAUUCUUUAGAAUUAACACCUUAGCAGAAACUUGGUAUUCCAAAUUCGAAUCCAGUUCCCAUGUUGGUCGAGGUUUCUUUAUCUUGUGGAUUCUUUUCACCUCAGAUAUGUGUAAUCUGCCUAAGUGGCCUGUACAUCCACCAUAUUGAACCUAGGUAGCAUAAAUCUCUUAUGUUCAUUUAACAAUAUGAUCUCAGCAUUAUGUCAAUCUCCGAAGUCUGAAUUGUAUCAGAAUUUAGAACUGAAUGGGUGGUAUGUUCCUGAAGAUGAGAAGCUCGAAAAAAGUAUUGUAAAUUAAGUAAUUUAUUUUGGUUAUCUAGGUAGCCGUUGAACCAUGAUUUUUUAUGUUGUUCCCAAGUACAUGUUAUCGACCUUUUGUGGUCUGAUGCAGAACUUGGCCAUUGAUUUAUAGCAAACAAAGACCCCCCCGCGCCCCCCCCCCCACCCCCACCCCCACCACCACGACCACCACCACCACAAAAAAGUUUGUACACUCUUUUGAAAUUCGUUUGAACAAUAUACAUCAUAUUACCCACAAAUAGUUUAUCAAAUAUUUGGAGUUUUACCACAUGCAUGUUUAAAAAAAACUUUACGUGAAAAUUUUAUUAUCUUUUGGGGGUUGAGAGGAAGGGGGAGCUUAUAUAAGAUAUUUGAGCAUUCAUCUCAUGGUCAUAUUCACAAUAAAACUGUCAUCAUCGGCUUAUGCUAACCAUGAAAGUUGCAUCACGUGGGCAAAGGUUAUACCAAAUUACCAAUAAAUCUCAACCAUUUCCACCCUUUUACCUUUUACUGGACAUGUUUUCAAUACUCUUUCUAACAUUUGCCAAUUUUUCUUUGCACAUAUUGGUAUCUUUAUAUUGCCCUACUAUAAGGUUCUCUAAAUACCUUUGUUCAUUUUUCUUCUAGACUGUUUGAGUUAAAAAUUUCUGCGCAUCUUACUAUAGAGUGCACAUAUUAGAGUGUUUGAUUUUAAAAGCUAAAUGCCUUUGUAGGAUGAUCUAAACAUAUUGCCCUAUUGUUCCACAUUUUACAAGGUAGAGAGGAACCACUAGCCUAGUUAGCAUCUGAAUUCCCUGGAGCUAGUGUACGGGGAAAAAAAGAUAUUGAGUGAUAGUCCCACGAUGGUAUGGAACAUGAAGAUGACUAGUGGAGCUGAGUGGGAGCAGAACAAAAUAAUUUAAGAUACACAUUGAAUAUGAAAUGUCAUAGACAGGUGCCACCAAAAUAAAUAAGACUACAAUUUGGCGAUAGCAUGUGGGAUACCCAAGAGGCUCACCAUUAGUUGCAUGAAUGUGAACAUUGAGCUCCAUGGAAGCCUUAAUAAUGUGUCAAUUCAUGAGAAGCAUCAUCAAGAAGAUCGUGGAUAUACUUCUUGGGAGUUGCGACAAUUAAAAGCCUUCAGGUGUAAAGGAAUCUUCGGCCCCAAUGAAGUUAUGAAAAUAUCACAUAUCCAACAUAAGAAACAAAUCAUAUGACGUGCCUUCACACAGUGAAUAUACUGAGAAACACAUAUGUUUUGAUAUAUCAUGUUUAUGUCAUAAUACCAAAACUCUGAUGUUUUACCUUAUAAAUUUGAGCUAGAUAUCAAUACUACCAGUCAGGAGCACAAAAGCAUCGUAUUAUCCAUCUUGUGCAAUGCGCCAUGUUUUCUUACAAAUGCACCGUUUCAUGAUAAAAGGACGAUCUAAUGAUGAAAGUAUAAUUUUGACAAAAGCCUUUGUUGUUGACUCGCAUUCUGCAAGACUUUUUUGUUUCUUGCUGUCCUAAUACUCCACUCAGCCAACAGCCCAACACAAUAAUUACUAUAUAGAAUUGAACUCAGCCAUUUAGCCUAUAUUAAAUAACUGUGUUCAUCCUUUGUUAGUCUUUGGAAUUGGCUACGGAAAGUAUUUGCUUGUUAAAUCCUAACAAAGCAGUGGCAUGAAUAGGAAACUUAGUCAAUGAACAUAACUAGUCAGCAAUAAAAUUUUCCUAUGUUCAUGGGAAUUUAAUUUUGUGUUUGUUCUUGAGUUCAACGUAAAUGUUUCUGUAAAAUCCGAUAUUGCUGCAUGAAGUGAGUUCUGUCUGGAGUUAAUAUCGUGGGACCAGUUCAAAGCAGCUGUCCUGAAGGAGGUUGUUGGUUCUGUACUUGCAGGUUUCACAUGCUGUCUGAGUUUGACGAGGGGAAAAAAAGUUGCCGGAAGCGUUUGGAUGGCCAUAAUAGGCGUCGAAGAAAGCCACAGCAUGAUCUGACAAAUCUUGGGGGUUUCAUUCCGUACCAUCAAGGUCUGUACAUUUCUGCUUACAUAAGUUGGGCAUCUUGGUAAUUUAAUAAUACUACUCGUAGGAGUUAGUUAAUCCAGUUUAGGUACCUCAUUAAUACUACUAUAUAUAUAGUCUUUAUUAAAUGAUGGAUCUAUUUAAAAUGAUAGCACAGAACUAUAUCUAUUAGCGUGUCUAAUCACAUUUUUAAUCUAGCAGAGCUCAUCUUCAUCAUUUUCAUUGAACUGAUUGCCAACUUGAACAUAUUUCUUCUGGAACUAUUUUUUUAGCAAGCUUUACCCAAUUUCCAAUAGGGUAGCAGAAAAGUAGAUGAAUGAUGUUUGUUUUUUUACUUGCAGUUAAUCAAUUUGAAAUUUAUCCACAAACAACUCCAACAGUCCGCGAGAAUUCUGACACUAUGCACUUGGUCCAUCGUCAGCCACCCUUCUCCAUAUCAUUCUCAAGAACACCAAAGCAGCUCCCUUUCCCACAGGACGGUGGUGGCAUGCUCAGUGCAUCCCACCACGGUCAUUUUUUGGUUGAGGAUAGCAACCACACUGGAAGCAGCGCAUGCAACAACACGCUGGGCCCCAAGUGUGCUCUCUCUCCUCUGUCAUCAUCGCUGCAUCAUCCCUCCCCUGCUGGCCAAGCACAGGUUGCCUCUGCACUCUCUCGCAUUGCUUCCGCGUCACAGCAGGUUGCAACAGCAGCUGUCACUGCUGCGUUUGCAUCUGGUGGCAGCCACCAUGUGUUUGUUCCUGAUGCUGUGUUGGAGGAUCCUUCACAGGCACUGCCAUUUCCUUGGCAGUAGUAGACAAAAUGUGUUGUGUUUUGUGUUGCUGCCGAGUUCUCAAUUUCUUGCAAUGGUGUUGACUGGGAUGUGUUGUGUUUUGUGUUGCUGCCGAGUUCUCAAUUUCUUGCAAUGGUGUUAACUGGGACUUGGGGGGGUGUUUGUGCACCUGGAGAUUCAGUUGUAGUCAGGAGAUGUAUACAAGUGAUCCUGCAGGAGAUGGAGGUGGUGGCUGUUGUGCAGAUUGUUUAGUUGAUUGAUUUAAAUGUGUCCUGUUAAUAAUUCUGUGCAUUUUUGUGAUAUUUAUUUUUGCAAAAAUAUAUGCAUGUAUGCGCUACUGGAAUUCUGGAAUGCCUUCAGGGACACAAAAGAUCUGAUGGGCAGAUGGCUCAGUUUUACAUGGGUCCGCUUUGCCUAGUUCAAUACUUCAAUCCAAUGCUAUUAUUGAUAAUGGGCCAAUUCGGGCUGGGCUGAUUUUGCUGUGGUCCAUUUGUCUGUCUGUGUGUGUGUAUUGGUAAUUUUGUUUGCAGCACAUGGAGGACCCUGUGCCAUUCAAUACGGAGUUACGGACCCAUGGGCUGAAGAAUGUUAUAAAUCGCAUAUGCAUGUUACUGGAAGUCAUCACGUGGCACUUCUCCUGGAAUAUUUUUUUUCUACUGUUAGAAAACUUUUUUUUUCUCUCUUCGUAGAACUUUUUCUUUCUACUGUUGGAACAUUUUCCAUCGAAGUGGUGAGUGGAAAAUGUGUCAGCAGUAGAAUCAAAAUUGUUCCAUCCGAAGGGGUAAGGUAGAAAAUGUUUCAAGAGUAGAGAAAGUUGUUCUAACAGUGGAAACGAUGUGUGCUAUAUGAUGGCUUUCAGUAGCAUAUGCAAUUUAUAGCGGCGCUGCUAGCGCUCGGACGUCCGAUGAGAAAUAUUAGCGCUCGGACGUCCGAUGAGAAAUAUUUCAUCGGAUGUUCCGAUGAAACAUUAAAAAUUAUCUAGUGCCAUAUUAGCGGUCACUGUUUGCAACAUAAAAAAUAAUGUGUAAAAAUGACUACGUUGUCUGACUUUGAGAUAAAAAAUUACCGCCGCAAAUGAAUACUAUAUUUCAUGCAACAUUCACUAUGAAAUAUGCGAAAAUAAUAGUUGCAAUAUCUAUGCUUAACUAUUGCAACGUAUGUCAGGCGCGUCUGAUUUUUUAAGAUUUCGGACGUAUGUUUUGUAGCAUUACCGAAUUUAUAAACACCCCCUCCCCCCAAGAGUGACUUUGAUUUCACAAUGUCAAGGUGAGACAACAUACUAUCUCUAUCUUUUAAUAAUACUCGCCAAUUCUGAAUUUUGUAUUCAAACUUUGAUCAAUGUUACAUAUCUUAAAAUGUUAUUUAUUCAGGUAACGUAAAAAAACCGUCGUUAGAUUUUUCUAUCCAAAGUACUACUAGAAUGUUUUAGACAUGUAAUUUUGUUUAGAUAUGUGUGGAUGAAAUUUGAUGCUAAAGUUUAAAUUGCAAAGUAAAAAAAAAUAAGGGAAGUACAAAUAAGCGGAGGAAGAACUAUGGUGGCUAUUCAGGCCACCUUGUGGUGCUGACGAGCAAUAAAUUACAAGAGCUAUUGUGGCUAUUCAGGCCAUCUUGCUAGCAUAAGUUUGUAUGAUCCAAACGGCCCUUCACAUGCGCAAAGCGUCCAACAUUUACUACAGGCGAAAAGCACACGGGACAGUGUAGCUCUGUAUGACCGUUGCGUGGAAUGCCGAUUGAUGCAAAAGGGCGCAAGGCACGCCAACUACGAGUCUGGCUUGAUCUCCUGGGGGAUCAGGAUUCAGUGCAUCCAGGAUGCUUUGGAUCGAGAGAUUGACGGCUCAGAUCAAGCCUUGUCCUAAAAUACCAUUCGUUUUGUUUUUUCCAGAUAUAUUACUUGUACUAUGUAUUUAACAUAAUAUAUAUUUAGCUAUUAAAAAUCCAAAACGAAUAGUAAUUUAGCAUGAAGAGAGUACGUAAGUUCAUAUCUGAUCGUAAGUUCAUAUCUGUUCAAACAAACUACGCAUCUUUUGACGUUAGUCGGUCAGUCUCACUGUUCAAACAAACUACGCAUCUUUUGACGUUAGUCGGUCAGUCUCACUGUUCAAACAAACUACGCAUCUUUUGGUGUCAGUCGGUCAGUCUCACUGUUCAAACGGAGUAUAAACAUGCAAAUGGAAGUGAGACUACCAACCAUGGGAAUUAAACGAAGUGACCUUAUUCAUCAUAGAAGCAACGUGCUGAAUUCGUAGCAGAGUAUGUGCAGUCAGCAUCCGCAGCAACUAUCGGAGAUCGCUAGGGUAUGGGCACGCCAACAACUCUUCAUUCAUCUCCAUUCCAAGUCCAUCCAAAGAGUUGUUCCAUAGCUGAAGAAGAUUAGACCAAUAAUGACCCUGUUUGUUUCCGCAAUUCCGCUUAUAAGCAGCUUAUCGAUAAAAAUAAGUGUGAAUCCCACCAAACGUCUUGCUUAUUUUCAUUUAUUCUCGCUUACGUGGUAAGCCGCUUCAGAGAUUUCAACUACAAGAAUCAAAAAACAAGAAGCAAAAAAAUCUUCACUUAGAUUAUAAUCCAAAUAUGACUGAGAGAAGCAGAAAUAAACCUGGCAAAUGUAGUAUGAGGCGGGGAAAAAAGAGAGCUAUGAAUUUCUGAAGGGCAGGGUGAUCCUCGCUCUGUGGUUGCUAAGGCUUAUCGGCUAGGGUGUGUGGCGUUUGUCAGGUGCCUUAUUAUGGAUGUGCAAUUUAUCACUAAAAUUUAUAGUUUUCAAAUAAUGAUGUGAAAUUAGCAUAUUGGUGUAGGCGUGUAGCUAUAGAAGAUUAUGUGGAUGUUCACCAUGGGCAAAUUUGGGCUCGGCUUAUUCUCAGAUUUAGAAAAUAUUUUGAUUGUAACAAAAAAUGGAAAACUCACAGGAUAGAAGAGAGAGGAAAAAAAGAAUUCAUUAACAAGGACAAUGAAAGAUAGAAACGGAGAUGUCUUUUUUUUUUGAAACAAAAAUGAAGAUGAGAGAACCGGGGAGAGAAAAAACAACAACGUGCUCUAUUGGGCUGCACCCCUAUGAUUGACGGUACGGGCCUUAUGGGCUGUCACUUGGGUGACACAUCACAGUCUCAUGAGCGACUCAUAAUCUAAAAAAAAUUAGCGACUCAUGACUCAUGUGAAAAAUAUUACCUUCUCCAUCUUCUAAUAUGAAUUUAUUUUUCAAGCUUUGGCCACUAAUACAUAUUUUUAAACCUAUUCAAGAUUUUCUAUUUAAAGUUUGACCAAUAAUAUUGUUUAAAAAAUUAUUCAGUUAUUAAGUAAUAAUUUGGAAAUAUUACUGUUAGAUUUUUUUCCUUUCAAAAUUUAUUAGAAUGUCAUACUUACAAUUGUUUGGAUAUGUAUUUUAAAAAGAUUCGAUAACCAAAGUUUGAACUGUAAAGUCAUCAGAACAUACAAGUAUUUAAAAACAGCAGGAGUAGAAAAUAGGCGAACGAUCUUAUCACAACUACUCGGGCAAACUCCAUUUCUGAAGGAGCUCUCAAGUAGUGAACAUGUAAAUCUUUGCUGCUGAGUGCUGACGAGCAAUGAACUAGGAAAAAAGAACUAUGCUGGUUAGUGGUUACUGUAAUCUCUAGGUACUCCAACACUUGGACCCCACUGGCACUGGUAAAUUGUUUGUUAGCACAAGUUUCUACGAUGAAGACGAGCCCUUAACAUGUGCGCAAAUUGCAAACGUCCAAUCAUUACAACAGGUGAAAAUAAGAAACAUGGAAAAUGAAGAGAGCAGUGCGUGGCUCCAUAUAUGCCUAUUGUGUGGAAUGCACGCCAACAUUUCACCCUUAAAAUGCGAGAUUUACACUGUGAAGAAACUGGCGCGACCCUGAAGUUGUUAACUCAGAACUUGGGGCGUUUUAAUUGGACCCUUGGAUCGACCCAGCGACGUCAGACCACAAAAAGUUUCAGAACAGCCCAGCAAGGAAACUGCAAAUGGAAGGGUGAGACGGCCCCAUGGAAAAUGAUUGAACUUUAUCACAACAGUAGCGUUCUAGAUUAUCGUCGCAGAGCAUGUGUAGCACGGCAACAACUAUAGGGUAGAAUAUGGACAUGCCAACAACUCUUCAUCUCCAACCCAUGUGCAUCUGAAGAGUUUGUUCCGUAGUUCUUUCCACCUAAAUUGUGCAUUUUUCUUGGGUGGACUAGUCGGUGGUUUCGGCACAUUAGGUCAGCAUUGGUACCUUUUUUACAUUUAUUUUCUCUACUGUUUCUGAAAAUGAAUAACUCCAUGGCUGCAAACUUUGGGGAUGCGUAUACAUGCAGGCCUUAGUGUGCACACAACACUGCAAUCCAAUGGCUUCAAUGAUAUUCACUAGAGUUUGACUUCUCAUGAAAAUUGAAACAGGUAAUGCUGCCACAAAGUGGUAUUUCAGGAUGAUUUACAGGAAUCAAGAACAUGAUUAAAUGGCCAAAGUUUAGGUGGGACGUCAACUUCUGUAGAAUGUCAUCUAAAAAUAAGAUUAAAGUACUUGCUCACUCAACCACAAAAAGGGGCUCAAAUUAAAUACUCCGGGCUGAUCUUAUAGAUUCAGACCAAUGAAAACGUUGCUGAACUACUGGCCACCAAGUAGCUGGCCAGGAACAGGUACCGAAACAAUUUUCAGACGAGAACAGAAAGAGCAGAAAGAUUGAAGUUCUGAAACAAAAAGGUGGCAAAUCGAUCCUCAGUUAGCAUCUCAAGCAAAUCGAAGCUCAGUUAGGCACUGCUAACACAACUCAUGCUAACAAGAGACAUGGAAGAUCAUGAUCAACAUGCAGUACUGCACAGAAGAGAUACAUUUGACAGAACAGUAGUAAGCCUUUGACGGCUUAACCUGACAAAUGCCCAAAGAACAUUGAACCCCCCCAUACUAGUAUACCAUGCUAGCCAACAACGGAGAUGAACAUGCCUCUACCACUGUACCUAAUGAAUAAUCUGGCCGGUCAGAGAGGAGGCCGCCGCCGCUGCGGUCGACUGAAGACUAGCCGAGGUACACGUGCACGCCGACGGCGAGGAGCAGGAUGGCGAUGAGGGUGAAGUAGAUGAUGGCGUGGAUGAGAAUGGAGAGGCCGCUGGUCUGGAAGUUGCCGAACUCGAUGAUCCGGCCCUUGCCCGGGAUCUGGAACAGCAGCCCCGGCGAGAGGAGGAUGAACAGCACCAGUCCGAUGAACACCGGCGCCCAGUCCGCCAUGAUCUCAGAGCAGCUGCGGCGACGGCGACGACGAUGACCUCCUCACGGCUACAGGCUACCCCAGCCUCCACUGUGUGUGCUCUCAGCUAGCUCCUGCUCCUUCUGUUUGGUUUGGGAUGGUAUGGCGUAGGACCAGUGGGGGAGUGGUAGGAGGAGCGUGGAGAGGGUAAUAUAUAGUGGCCUUUUGGCCAGGGAAUAACUAAAUUGGAGGGCAAAAAGGAUGGUGGGUGCAUGUGUUGGGAGGGAGGGUGAUCCUCUGUGGCUAUAGGGAGGAUUGGUCAUGGUUUGGGUUUCUUACUCAGUCUUUCGGCGAUUCACACAUUUUGUGGUUUGUUACCAUCACAGAAUGAAGUCGGUUGUGAGAAAAGGGACAUGUGAAACUUGACACAUUGACGUAGCUGUAAAUUAUGUGUGACAGUAAGGGCUCGUUUGGCACGGUUGUGGAUGUAGCUGAAACGGCUUCGGCUGUGGCUCCUCUGGUGGAGCAGCUUCUCUGGUAAGGGCUGUGGCUUGUUUGGCAGGGUUGAUCAGUUUUUUC